rnacentral:rRNA from 1 species
AGAGUUUGAUCCUGGCUCAGCCUGAACGCUGGCGGCGUGGCUAAGACAUGCAAGUCGGACGGGCCGCAGCAAUGCGGCCAGUGGCGGACGGGUGAGUAAUGAAUCGCUAACGUGCCCCAGAGCCUGGGAUAGCCGGCCGAAAGGCCGGGUAAUACCAGAUGACAUGACCGCCGGGCAUCCGGUGGUCCUCAAAGUAGCAAUACGCUCUGGGAGCGGGCGAUUUCGUAUCAGCUAGUUGGUGGGGUAACGGCCCACCAAGGCGACGACGCGUAGCCGGACUGAGAGGUUGGCCGGCCACAUUGGGACUGAGACACUGCCCAGACUCCUACGGGGGGCUGCAGUAACGAAUCUUCCGCAAUGCACGCAAGUGUGACGGAGCGACGCCGCGUGAGGGAGGAAGGUUCUUGGAUUGUAAACCUCUUUUCUCAGAGAAGAGUAAUGACGGUAUCUGAGGAAUAAGCAUCGGCUAACUCCGUGCCAGCAGCCGCGGUAAUACGGAGGAUGCAAGCGUUAUCCGGAAUGAUUGGGCGUAAAGGGUCUGUAGGUGGUUGUUCAAGUCUGCUGUUAAAGCGUCUGGCUUAACCAGAUAAAGGCGGUGGAAACUGAACGACUAGAGUGCGGUAGGGGUAGAGGGAAUUCCCAGUGUAGCGGUGAAAUGCGUAGAUAUUGGGAAGAACACCUGUGGCGAAAGCGCUCUACUGGACCGCGACUGACACUGAUGGACGAAAGCUAGGGGAGCGAAUGGGAUUAGAUACCCCCGUAGUCC